AUCCAGAUAACGAGUCCCAAAUAGGACGAAACGUGCGUCCUGGAU
rnacentral:hammerhead_ribozyme from 1 species